rnacentral:rRNA from 1 species
GACGAACGCUGGCGGCGUGCCUAAUACAUGCAAGUUGAGCGAUGAAGAUUGGUGCUUGCACCAAUUUGAAGAGCAGCGAACGGGUGAGUAACGCGUGGGGAAUCUACCUUUGAGCGGGGGACAACAUUUGGAAACGAAUGCUAAUACCGCAUAACAACUUUAAACAUAAGUUUUAAGUUUGAAAGAUGCAAUUGCAUCACUCAAAGAUGAUCCCGCGUUGUAUUAGCUAGUUGGUGAGGUAAAGGCUCACCAAGGCGAUGAUACAUAGCCGACCUGAGAGGGUGAUCGGCCACAUUGGGACUGAGACACGGCCCAAACUCCUACGGGAGGCAGCAGUAGGGAAUCUUCGGCAAUGGACGAAAGUCUGACCGAGCAACGCCGCGUGAGUGAAGAAGGGUUUCGGAUCGUAAAACUCUGUUGGUAGAGAAGAACGUUGGUGAGAGUGGAAAGCUCAUCAAGUGACGGUAACUACCCAGAAAGGGACGGCUAACUACGUG